AAUAGUGGACCCCCAACCAAUAGUGGACCCUCCAGCCAUUUUUGCAUUACUACAGCACAAUGUAAAUAUUUUGCUAUGAAAUUCCAUCGGGAGAACCUACUUUACAGUCCUACGAUUUGAUUACAUGCAUUGGAAAUGCUAUGGAAAGCAAAAUUGGAUGAUUUUUCAGAAUUCUUUUGAAAAUAAACACGAAAGUGUCCAUUAUAGGAAUAUUUUGGGGGGUCUAUAAUAGGGAAGAAGAACGUCCCGAAACGAAACAUGAAAAUCAAAUGAAGUGUCGACUAUAGGGAAGCAAUUUCCUAUUAUGGACCCCCAGGGGGUCUACUAUAGGGCGAAUUCAGUCAGACUUUAAAAUGUUAAUUUCAACGAAUAACGUCGUGUAUUUGAGUGUUUUAUGUACGUAUCGUGAAGAGGAGAUGCAGAACUUGUUAUUAGAUAUCAAGCAGAAUUGAUAUGUUGAAAAUUUCUACUCCGUAUGACAGGAAGAGCUAAAUUCCGCUACUAGAGGGUCCACUAUUGGGCAUUUUACCCAUAUGUGCGAAACUCGCAUAGAACAUUCGGCUAAGGAUAUUUUCUCGUUUUAAGUGCUCAUCUUACAAAUUAUGUGCAAACCUAUUAGAACACAUGACUGAUUUGCAUAAUUUAUGAGUGCAACAACAGUCACCAUUAAACCAUUAUCCAUCGCACAUACAUUUUAAAAUAAAGCAUAAUGUACAUACAAAACAACAACUGGCAGGAAAGAAAACAAAAACUUCUCCGAUUUGGAUAGCCGGGAACCUAUAUAACUAAAAGUAUCGACAAGUAAGCAUAAAUUUAAGGAAUAUAUUAUUAUUCUCCUUAAUGAAGAUCUCUGAAACUUUCCUUUGACCCUGGAAGCUGGAAGAUACAUAUCUGAGACUCGAUCUGAGACGCCGCUGGUAGGUGCAGAACGGCGAUGCGGAUCGCAGCCUAAGAUGUUUCGAAAAUGGCAGCUCUUGGUAGAAACUUCGCAGAUGAAGAUCAUAGCCAGCAAAACUGAUUCCUUGUGAGCAUAGCAUAUCUUUUGUUGAUAGGGAAGCAAGUGCUCCGGCUAUACUUUUUGCUUUGGAUUGAAGGAUAGUCCUCGGAACAGUUGAAGAAAAUUCCAUCAAAUGAAUUUAGGUUACGCCCAAUGGUCGGCAGCCAAAAAAAUAAGACAUUGAGAAACUAAGAUGUUCUACGUAUCUUGCAAUAAAUAUGAUAACCUAUUUAGGCUACGAGUUGUAUCACAUGAUGUAGAGUCACUUGAUGUCAUCCAAUUGAGAGUAAUUUAUAUGUAAUUGUACUUCAAGAUACACUCUAUCAAGUGAUAAAGCUUGUAGUCUGACUAUGCUAUAAGUAUUUUCAA